rnacentral:rRNA from 1 species
UACGGAGGGGGCUAGGCGUUGUUCGGAAUUACUGGGCGUAAAGCGCACGUAGGCGGCUUUGUAAGUUAGAGGUGAAAGCCCGGGGCUCAACUCCGGAAUUGCCUUUAAGACUGCAUCGCUAGAAUUGUGGAGAGGUAAGUGGAAUUCCGAGUGUAGAGGUGAAAUUCGUAGAUAUUCGGAAGAACACCAGUGGCGAAGGCGACUUACUGGACACAUAUUGACGCUGAGGUGCGAAAGCGUGGGGAGCAAACAGG